rnacentral:rRNA from 1 species
GAUGAACGCUGGCGGCGUGCCUAACACAUGCAAGUCGAGCGAAAAGACGAGGAGCUUGCGCCUCUGACGUUAGCGGAGGACGGGUGAGUAACACGUGGAUAACCUACUUAUAUUACUGGGAUAACUUCGGGAAAGCGGAGCUAAUACCGGAGAAUAUAUUGAACCGCAUGGGUGAUUAGAGAAUGACGGGUUUGGGGUCAGUAAUAGAGGGUUCCGCGCCGUAUUGGGUGGUUGGUAAGGUUACGGCUUAUCAAGGCGACGAGGCGUAGGCGACCGGAGAGGCUGAUCGCCCACAUGGGAAGGUAGACACGGUCAAGGCGCCUGCGGGAGGCCGCAGACGGCAAUCUGCGGCAACGGGCGAGAGCAUGACAGAGCGACGCCGAGUCAGUGAUGAAGGUCUUCGGUGCGUAAAGCUCUCUUAUUAGUGAAGAACAGCUGUGUAAGUAGCCAUGGAGGUCUUGACGGUACCUAAUCAAAAAGCACCGGCUAACUACGUG